rnacentral:rRNA from 1 species
AUGAGCUUGGUGUCUUGGGCAUGCUUGCCGUGCCGGAGGCGUGGCACUGAUAGCUCCGGGCCGUGUGUCAGCCCAUGGAGGUGGGCGGCGCUGUGGCUGUCGUCAUGGCGCGUGGCGGAGGCGGCGGGCGGUGAUGUCGUACGUGCGGCGACCGCGGAGGCCGCCGAGGUGCUGCAUGGUGGCGCGGCGGCGCAGCACGGCGUGGCGGCAUGGAGGCACUGCAUGGCGGCAUGGAGGCCACGGCGGUGCAGGGCAAAAGCCGCGGCGGCGAGCCGGGCGCAGGCGGUGCGUGUUAUGGGUGCACACGGGCUCGUCGGGUGCGACGGAUUCGCGCGGGACGUGCGGGACGCACUGGUGCAGUCGGGCUCGUCAGGCGCGUUGGGUAUGCGCGGGACGUGCGGGACGCACUGGGGCGGUCGGGCCCGUCGGGUGCACGCGGGACGUGCGGGGCGUCGAGGGACGUCAGGCGUGUGUCGCCGGCGGAGAAAGAGCUCGGCGUGUGUCGCCGGAGUCGUGACGGAGCACGGUGCGACCGGCGUCGGUGUGCCAGGUCGGUGA